rnacentral:lncRNA from 1 species
CACCACUCAGGCCAGGCCAGUGGCCUUGGGAGGGGCCUGUGAUGCUGGGACCACAGUUCCUGGGCAGGGAGCAACCGUCUAGGCGUGGGGAGAACGCAGGACGUGACCCACACACCGCACUGGAGGCUCCGCUCUGCCCGCUCCGGGACCCCUUCCUCCGCCGCACCCGCCCCGGUGGUCCGCGGAUGCCCGCCCUUGCCGCUCAGCCACUCCCCCCGCACCGAGGCCUAGGACUCCCC